CCAAACCAUGUCAUGAUGAUGAAAAUCUUUGGAAACUCAAAACCCCCAUUUCAGAAACCAUGUGCCUUGGAAUCUUUGUACUACUUCAACGGUUUGGAGAGAAUGUGUGAAGGAGAAAUACUUAUAAUUCAUAUUUAUCCUUUUUGAUAUAUAAUGGUAAAGCUUUUUGAUCAAAAUAUUAUUAUUAACAAAUAAUUAUUA
rnacentral:lncRNA from 1 species